rnacentral:rRNA from 1 species
GACGUAGGGCGCGAGCGUUGUCCGGAAUUAUUGGGCGUAAAGGGCGCGUAGGCGGCCAUGCGUGUCUUCCGUGAAAUCCCUCGGCUUAACUGAGGACGUGCGGAAGAAACUGCAAGGCUCGAGUCCGGGAGAGGGGGGUGGAAUUCCCAGUGUAGCGGUGAAAUGCGCAGAUAUCAGGAGGAACACCAAUGGCGAAGGCAGCUCGCUGGGACGGUACUGACGCUGAGACGCGAAAGCGUGGGGAGCAAACAGG